UGCCUGAGCUGGCAUCCUCUUCCUCCUGUCGGCGGGAGGUGUGGAUCACCUACUGCGUGCGGGGAACAAACGCCGCCCCAGUACCGGUCCCUGCAGCGGAGUAGCCUUCACCUGCAAGGUGAACGCCUGCUCACCACGUAAUCCCCAAACGCAGAUAUCACGUUGUCUCUGCAACUUUCCCUGACAACCACCCAAUGCAAUUAAUUAUCCCACAAUAGUAUCUCCCGCAGGCUCUCUGUAGAACCAUAGAAUUCAUCCAUCAAAAUACAAUCAUUUGUUGAUCCGUCUCUCUCUGCCGCCCCCAAAUGUGAAUUCCUUGAGUCAGAGACUAUUCUACUCAGCAAAACAUUUGUGAGUGGAAUUAAAUUGAAAUAAACCGUUAUAGUCCACUCACAGAUGGAAAACACAUAGUAAAAUCCUAGAAUUCCAUUUCUCCCCUGAAAAUUUCCCAGACAGUCAGAGGGAGUUUCAUUCUUUCCUGUUUACUUUUCUCCCAAAUAGGCCUUCUGAGGCAGCAGAAUAGGGAAGGAAGUCAGAAGACUGACCAGCUCAUACCUAUGGAAUGCCUAUCAUACAUACACUUAAAAUUAUGGCAAGCUCACGCAGGCGCACUAAGAGAGAAAAAACAAGAAAACAGAUAUGACAAUUAUAGGAAAUCCCCUCCCUAGAGUUAAAGAAGUGUAGGAAGUGGGUAUAAAAGAACAAAGGCUAUAUUAAUCCAGGGCUGACACCACUUGAAGAUAAGCCCGUUCCUCUCUCUGGUAUAUUCUUUGCUUAAUAAAUCUUGUGGGGUGGUUAUUUGUGUGUCUCAUCCAAUUCUUUGUUCAUAACACCAAGAACCUGGAACUCCCAACUUCCAAUCUGGUAACAUAUUUUGGUGAGCCAGCCAGGAGGGUCAAGCCUGCAAUACCUAAAGCUCCAGACCUGGAACCCAAAGCUCCCAUCAGUCGCUACCCUGUGAACCUGUGGAGGAUCUGAAGUACCUGUUUAAAAGGCAUCCAAAAGAUAGAAUCUAUCAAGCUACAAAUGGCUAUGUUGCCUGAAGCCCCAGACAUCAUCCUACAAGAAAUAAGUCCAGACUUCUUAAUUUCCCCCUGGAUAGAGCAGGGUCUUGUUGAACUGGCUAGUGCUUCAACAACAAUGCUAAAUAAUAAAGGAUCUAACAAUAUUUCUGCUUUAAAUUGAUUUCAGAGGGAAUGUCUCUAACGUUGCAGUUAAGUAUCAUAUUCGAUUCAGUUGGAAAGACAUGGUUAAUGCUUAAGAGAGCCAGAAGAACCCAAAUCUUUGAACACACUUAGAGCAACCACAAACUGCUGUUAGAAAACUAAUGUUAAUGUUUAAGAAGUACUUGUUAUUUUA
rnacentral:lncRNA from 1 species